GGACCUGUAGCUCAGUGGUAGAGCGUUCGACUCACAUUCGAAAGGUCAGAGGUUCGAUACCUCUCAGGUCCA
rnacentral:tRNA from 1 species